rnacentral:rRNA from 1 species
GAUGAACGCUGGCGGCGUGCCUAAUACAUGCAAGUCGAGCGAACGGACGAGAAGCUUGCUUUUCUGAUGUUAGCGGCGGACGGGUGAGUAACACGUGGAUAACCUACCUAUAAGACUGGGAUAACUUCGGGAAACCGGAGCUAAUACCGGAUAAUAUUUUGAACCGCAUGGUUCAAAAGUGAAAGACGGUCUUGCUGUCACUUAUAGAUGGAUCCGCGCUGCAUUAGCUAGUUGGUAAGGUAACGGCUUACCAAGGCAACGAUGCAUAGCCGACCUGAGAGGGUGAUCGGCCACACUGGAACUGAGACACGAUCCAGACUCCUACGGGAGGCAGCAGUAGGGAAUCUUCCGCAAUGGGCGAAAGCCUGACGGAGCAACGCCGCGUGAGUGAUGAAGGUCUUCGGAUCGUAAAACUCUGUUAUUAGGGAAGAACAUAUGUGUAAGUAACUGUGCACAUCUUGACGGUACCUAAUCAGAAAGCCACGGCUAACUACGUG